UGGGGAAUUUUGGACAAUGGGGGAAACCCUGAUCCAGCCAUCCCGCGUGUGCGAUGAAGGCCUUCGGGUUGUAAAGCACUUUUGGCAGGAAAGAAACGUCAUGGGUUAAUACCCCGUGAAACUGACGGUACCUGCAGAAUAAGCACCGGCUAACUACGUGCCAGCAGCCGCGGUAAUACGUAGGGUGCAAGCGUUAAUCGGAAUUACUGGGCGUAAAGCGUGCGCAGGCGGUUCGGAAAGAAAGAUGUGAAAUCCCAGAGCUCAACUUUGGAACUGCAUUAUUAACUACCGGGCUAGAGUGUGUCAGAGGGAGGUGGAAUUCCGCGUGUAGCAGUGAAAUGCGUAGAUAUGCGGAGGAACACCGAUAGCGAAGGCAGCCUCCUGGGAUAACAAUGACGCUCAUGCACGAAAGAGUGGGGAGCAAACAGG
rnacentral:rRNA from 1 species